UGUCACACGAGUGAAUCAUCGAAUCUUUGAACGCACCUUGCACCUGCGGAGUCUAUCCGCAGGUAUACCUGUUUGAGCAUCAUUUUCACGUUUCUACCAUUAGUGGUGGGAGUUGGGGCGUCGGCUGCUCUGGCGGCCGUGCUCUUAAAUGUAUGGCAGUUUGGGAUGGCGGCCUGAGUUUCCCAGUGAGGAUGUUUGCCGUGUGCAAAACGAUCGCGCAGAAGCUUGUGGCACCAUUCAUAUCUAUUGCUGCACAACGACUUGGCUAUCUAGCUUGCUAGGUGGCCAGCGAAAAAGCGAACAAAUGUGAUCUCAAAUCAGGCAAGACUACCCGCCGAACUUAAGCAUAUCAAUAAGCGGAGG
rnacentral:rRNA from 1 species